CGGGUGGGGAAAAAGAUAAAAUAUUGAGUUGAAAUCGAUCCGUACUUGACUGAUACUUUCAUCACGCCAAGGGUGGAUGAGAGGCAAAUUUAAUCUGGCGGAAGCCAACUUAGUCAUUCGUAUAUCUGUCAAGUACUUUAUCGAUCUAAUCGAACAUAUUUCAAUGUGCAGAGUGAUAGGGCUCAGAAUAGAGGUAGAGUAACCUUUGGUGUCUGACAACUGCACCUUGCCAGGAAUGGUCAAGUGGAGAGGCAUUAUUGAUCCUUAUUCAACUCCUAUCUUUCACUUGAUGGCUCCUAGACCCGCCCCUGGUACCCCACUUGAACUGGUGAGCUGAGCCAAGUAAGGGAAUGGCAUUAGCACUACACUAGUAGGCAAAAGAUUCUGGGUAAAGCUUCCCAGGGAGUCCCCAGUUAAGGAGGAAGAACCUGUCCAGAUCAACGGCCUAGAGUUCAAGGCCAAAACGCAUCUGGGGUAGAAGUAUACGGUUGUGGAUAACGGCUUGGAGAGGAAUGGGUACUGCCAAACUAACUUACCCAUGAUACAUUCAUGAUGAUGACAACCAGAACCUGACUGGUCGUCGCCUGGGUUAACAAAAAGUGGACCGGCUUCGAUUUCUCCAACUUAUAGAGGGUAGCACAAGUUCGAGAGAGGAGGCGAAAUCUGGUUGCGACGUCAUCAACGAAUGCCCCAACGACCACACAUGCGAAGGAAGGGGGAGAUUUUGUUAAUGUGUAACCUUUUUCCA